GGGUGCGAUCAUACCAGCACUAAUGCACCGGAUCCCAUCAGAACUCCGCAGUUAAGCGUGCUUGGGCGAGAGUAGUACUAGGAUGGGUGACCUCCAUCGAAGUCCUCGUGUUGCACCCC
rnacentral:rRNA from 1 species